AACGAACGCUGGCGGCAUGCCUAACACAUGCAAGUCGAACGGGACCUUCGGGUCUAGUGGCGCACGGGUGCGUAACGCGUGGGAACCUGCCCUUAGGUUCGGAAUAACUCCCCGAAAGGGGUGCUAAUACCGGAUAAUGUCUUCGGACCAAAGAUUUAUCGCCUUUGGAUGGGCCCGCGUUGGAUUAGCUAGUUGGUAGGGUAAAAGCCUACCAAGGCGACGAUCCAUAGCUGGUCUGAGAGGAUGAUCAGCCACACUGGGACUGAGACACGGCCCAGACUCCUACGGGAGGCAGCAGUGGGGAAUAUUGGACAAUGGGCGAAAGCCUGAUCCAGCAAUGCCGCGUGAGUGAUGAAGGCCUUAGGGUUGUAAAGCUCUUUUACCCGGGAUGAUAAUGACAGUACCGGGAGAAUAAGCUCCGGCUAACUACGUG
rnacentral:rRNA from 1 species